AGUUUAUGACAGUCUCACUGCUCUUCGUAACACAAGUAGGGCUUCCUCUUCAGGGUUCUGAGCGUGUCUGCAUGUAGAGGUAAUGAUGCUCUAACCAGCAAGCAAACAUGAAGAGCUAGGCCAUGAAAAGGUAGAAAAGGACACCAGCAUCAGAAGAGUCGUCUUGGUUCUCAACAAUGUCAAGAACCUUUCCGUGUCCGCUCUGAGUUCUCUAACAUGAGGCAUGUGGUGUUCAAAGUCGGCAUCUUGAUGGACAACAGUGAGAAGCCUGUGAUGUUGGAAGUGAGUCAACACCCAUGAGACUGGUCUAGAGGAUCUGCGCCAUGAAGUGAUGCCCACAGCCUCUCCAGCCCUCAUAAGACCUUGGCUGGACUCUUCCUGUAGCCAAGCGGCCUCUGUAAUCAAAGCUUUACCCUAGGCUUGGGCUUGCUCAUGCAACAGAUCCCAGAGACUGAUGUCUGCUCCUGCCGCUGACCUCCUUUCUCUCUGAGCAUACAGGCCUCUAAUAACACCAUCAACCCAAGUGGGUGCCUCCUGGGGGACAGGAGACCGGAACAGUACACCCUUUUAAGGAGCUGGGUUAGCCAUUCCAUACAAGGGUUAAGAGGACUUCAGCUAAAGCCUGUUUGAACUUGGAAACCCUCUCUUGAAAUCCCAACGGAAAGGUGUUUCCAUUUUCACAGUGAACUUUGCUCUACACAUUCUCACUCUGAGAGUUAAAAGAAGAGGUUAAAAGAUAGCUCAGUCUGUAAACUGAAUGCAUGAAGCUUGAUCCUCAGAACCUACUCAAAAUUACAAAAUUAAACAGCUGGACGUGGACGUGCAUGUGUGUCGUGUAAGCGCUGGGUGGCAGAGCCCGGAUUCCUGAGGCUAGCUGGGUGACCAGCCUGGAUUAUCCAGAAGGCCCCUGGUCCCAGUGAGAGACUUUGUUUCAAAAUAAAAAAGUAAUGAAUGUUGCUGAAGAAUAGAA
rnacentral:lncRNA from 1 species